CCCUUAGACGUUCUGGGCCGCACGCGCGCUACACUGACCAGUGCAACAAGCAUCCGUCCUUGGCCGACAGGCUCGGGCAAUCUUUGAACGCUGGUCGUGAUGGGGAUAGACUUUUGCAAUUUUUGGUCUUCAACGAGGAAUUCCUAGUAAACGCAAGUCAUCAACUUGCAUUGAUUACGUCCCUGCCCUUUGUACACACCGCCCGUCGCACCUACCGAUUGAAUGGUCCGGUGAAGCCUCCGGAUUGGCGCGCACCCCGGUGCCGCCGAGAAGUUGGCUAAACCUUACCAUUUAGAGGAAGGUGAAGUCGUAACA
rnacentral:rRNA from 1 species